rnacentral:tRNA from 1 species
GACCCAGUGGCCUAAUGGAUAAGUCAUUGAUCUCCUAAGCCAGGAGUUGUGGGCUCAAGUCACAUCUGAGUUA